rnacentral:misc_RNA from 1 species
AAGUCGUAACAAGGUUUCCGUAGGUGAACCUGCGGAAGGAUCAUUACCGAGUCCUCCUGUUUUGCAGGAACUCCCACCCGUGAUCAAUUCCACUGUUGCUUCGGCAAGACGUUGGAAACGGCCAUCGCCAUUGAUAUUGAAUUCGAUGACGAUGUGUGCUUGCCGGAGUCAUAUACUCUUAAACUAUGAUAGUCAGAGAAAACAAGCAAUAAAUAAAAACUUUCAACAACGGAUCUCUUGGUUUUG